GUGCCAGCAGCCGCGGUAAUACAGAGACUGCAAGCGUUAUCCGGAUUCACUGGGUUUAAAGGGUGCGUAGGCGGGCAGGUAAGUCAGUGGUGAAAUCUCCGGGCUUAACUCGGAAACUGCCGUUGAUACUAUCUGUCUUGAAUCCCGUGGAGGUGAGCGGAAUAUGUCAUGUAGCGGUGAAAUGCUUAGAUAUGACAUAGAACACCAAUUGCGAAGGCAGCUCGCUACACGAAGAUUGACUCUGAGGCACGAAAGCGUGGGGAUCAAACAGGAUUAGAUACCCUUGUAGUCC
rnacentral:rRNA from 1 species